rnacentral:rRNA from 1 species
GACGAACGCUGGCGGCGUGCUUAACACAUGCAAGUCGAACGGAAAGGCCCUGCUUUUGUGGGGUGCUCGAGUGGCGAACGGGUGAGUAACACGUGAGUAACCUGCCCUUGACUUUGGGAUAACUUCAGGAAACUGGGGCUAAUACCGGAUAGGAGCUCCUGCUGCAUGGUGGGGGUUGGAAAGUUUCGGCGGUUGGGGAUGGACUCGCGGCUUAUCAGCUUGUUGGUGGGGUAGUGGCUUACCAAGGCUUUGACGGGUAGCCGGCCUGAGAGGGUGACCGGACAAAUUGGGACUGAGAUGCGGCCCAGACUCCUACGGGAGGCAGCAGUGGAGAAUAGUGCACAGUGGGCGGAAGCCUGAUGCAGCAACGCCGCGUGGGGGAUGACGGCCUUCGGGUUGUAAACCGCUUUCGCCUGUGACGAAGCGUGAGUGACGGUAAUGGGUAAAGAAGCACCGGCUAACUACGUG